ACACUGGAUGCGCGGUGCAAGCGUCUCAGCUGCGUGGCUGUUUUUAAUUUGGCUCAACAGGUUAGAGCCGCGCGGACAACGUGUGCAUGCAAGAGAGUUUGUUGUCAUGUGCAUCCUCUCCACCUAUAAAAUCCCCCUGAAGCUCAGACGGCACAACAUCAGCAGAGAUCUGUCGUGAUGAAUGUUUCUUCUCUUCAGCUCAACACAAGAUGGAAAUUGAGUAAACACGUGGAGACUGAAAAGAGAUGAAGACAAAAAGCAGUGGAAACAUGGAGAUUGUGAAGAUCAUCAGAUGGAGCAGCUUCAGUGAUAUAAGACCAGACUUCUCUGAUCCACACACACAUGUGAAGAGCUGCUCUCAUCAAACACAGAAGAUCAGACAUGAUGAUGCAAGAACAUUAAAGUCUCUUCUGGACUCUCCAGCUCCUGCAACGUUCUUCUCUUUAUUAUUUUAUGAAGCAUAUAUUGUACUUGUUUUCUGCAAUUCAGUAUACAUAUCGUACUGCAUUGCAUUCAAGGAAAGUUUAACACUUCUGAACACUUUUCAAACAAAUAUGAAUAAAGUCCUUGUGUUUUCUUUCUCUCUCUCUAAGAUCAAAGUUCAGAUAUAAUAUAUGAAUAUGUGUUUUUAUUGAGUCACGUAUGAUCCCUCUCUCUCUCUCUCAAAUACAUAUUUAGCAGCUAGUGUGACUGCCGUCUCAUUCUCUCCAAGUAUAUAGAGUAGUUUCUCUGAGUCGUUUAGAGACAAGAAUGAAGGAUUCAAAGCGUUUCUCUUGUAGUGCUGUAUUUGGGACAGACCAGAAGGAAGUGUUUCUCAUCCUCUGUUUGAUUCAGCUCACAGUGUUUGCAAAGGCGCUCUUCUCUCGGGAGACAGGAUCUUUUAUAUCUACCAAUCUCUAUCAUGAUUACUGAGUCGAUAUUUGGGAAGGAUUUGUCUUUCUUUUAAUUGCUUGAGUGAUAAGUAGUUUGCCAGUUUUGUGGUUCUGUUUAGGGCCGAAUAACACUGGAGUUUGGUUUGGAGCUCAAAUUCAUUUUUUAAUUGUUCUUCAUAAUUAUACUUGAGAUUUGUGUCAGUUUCUGAAUGUUGGGUUUGUGAUUGGAGUCAGACUCAGUUUGGGUGUCCUUCAUCAGUUCUGAAAUAUCAUAAUCUUAGUUUUUGGGAUGUUGAUGUCUAAGGCCCAAUCCUGGCAGUAUUUAGUUAAAAUGUCGAGGUUGUUCUGAAGACCUUCUGGUGUUAUAGACAGAAUUAGUAAGUAUUUGACCUCUGUGUGGUGUAAUUGUAGUCCUGGACUGUUCGACUGGUCCAGUAGAUCUGCCAGUUCAUUGAUAUAUAUAUAUAUGUUAAAUAAAGUCUCACUCCUCGCUGUUGAGGAAAAUAGUCUGUCCAUUGCUGGCCAAUAUUUACUGCACAUUUAUUUUGGUUAUACAUGUUUUUAAUUAAGUCAUAUAUUUUACCCCCUAUGCCACUUUCAAUGAUUUUAUAAAACAGUCCAUUAUGCCAGAUGGAGUCAAAAGCCUUCUUAAAAUCUGCAAAUAUUUUCCCAUCUUUCUUCUGGUGUACAUUUCCUUUUUUUUAGCGUGUGUAGUGUGUGAAUAUGUUUGGUGUUGAUUAAUUUCUCCUUGUAAAGUGUGGAAUACUUCAUCGUCGUAGUAUGGGGAAUCUGAUGGAGGAAUAUAAAUUCCACAGAUAAAAAGGUCUUUAUCUAGAAUUCCAGAGCUUUUAUCCAAUUUUAACCAGAUGUGAUUUUUGCCUUUCUGUAAUUUUUUAUUCAUAUGACUAAACCUCCAGAAUCUCUACCACGGUGUACUGAGCUGAGUUUCCAUGAGGGCACUAUGAUUUCAGAGUAACGUGAAGGACACUGAUCGGACACAUCGGAUCUACACAUCACUCUCUCUCAUAUGCAGGGAUCUAAUGUCUCUGGAUAAGAUCAGACAUGAGCUGCUCAUGUCAGGCAACACAAAUGCUGUCGAAACCCUUUUGAUCUGACUAACACAAGGGGAAAAUGAGAAUGAGAGAACUAGACAGUUGAGUUUGUGAUUCAGUGAAGUAUCAGUUUUACAGCAGAGAUUAUCACAUGACCAUCUAUAUCAUAUCAGAAUUUAGAAGAGGUUUAUUUAAAUGAAAACUGUACAUUGAGUGAUAAAUACUAUAUUUUGAUCAGCUUCAAGAUACUAAAGAGAUGAUGCAUCUGAGAGUUUUGUGACCUCACUUUAAUUUAAAGCUCAUUUUAAUAUGUUUUUCUACAACAAUAACUAUAUCACUACCAUUCCAAUCAUGUGAUUAUUUGUGGUUAGUUGUUCACAGUAAGGCUGUAACUGUUCAUCUGGUUAUGGAACCAAACAGACUAAUGACUAAUGAUUUGUUAAAUGUGUUUCAAUUAAAUGUUUUCUGUUAUUCUA